rnacentral:rRNA from 1 species
AUUGAACGCUGGCGGCAGGCUUAACACAUGCAAGUCGAGCGCGCGGCGGACGGGUGAGUAAUGUCUGGAAAACUGCCUGAUGGAGGGGGAUCACUACUGGAAACGGUAGCUAAUACCGCAUACUAUCAGAUGUGCCCAUAUGGGUUUAGCUAGUAGGUGGGGUAAUUGCUCACCUAGGCAACGCUCCCUAGCUGGUCUGAGAGGAUGACGAGCAACACCGGAAUGGCGAAACGGUCCAGAAUCCUACGGGAGGCAGCAGUGGUGAAUAUUGUACAAUGGGCGGAAGCCUGAUGCAUCCAUGCCGCGUGUGUGAAUAAGGCCUUAGGCUUGUAAAGCACUUUCAGUGAGGAUGCGUUACUCGCAGAAGAAGCACAGGCUAACUCCGUGCCAGCAGCCGCGGUAAUUC